UGGGGAAUAUUGCACAAUGGGGGAAACCCUGAUGCAGCGACGCCGCGUGAGCGAAGAAGGUUUUCGAAUCGUAAAGCUCUGUCCUAUGAGAAGAUAAUGACGGUAUCAUAGGAGGAAGCCCCGGCUAAAUACGUGCCAGCAGCCGCGGUAAUACGUAUGGGGCGAGCGUUGUCCGGAAUUAUUGGGCGUAAAGGGUACGUAGGCGGUCUAUUAAGUCAGGUGUGAAAGCGUGAGGCUUAACCUCAUUAAGCACUUGAAACUGAUAGACUUGAGUGAAGGAGAGGAAAGUGGAAUUCCUAGUGUAGCGGUGAAAUGCGUAGAUAUUAGGAGGAAUACCGGUGGCGAAGGCGACUUUCUGGACUGCAACUGACACUGAGGCACGAAAGCGUGGGUAGCAAACAGG
rnacentral:rRNA from 1 species